UACGAAGGGGGCUAGCGUUGUUCGGAAUUACUGGGCGUAAAGCGCGCGCAGGCGGUCUUCCAAGUCAGUGGUGAAAGCCCGGAGCUCAACUCCGGAACUGCCAUUGAAACUGUAAGACUUGAGGAUGAGAGAGGUGAGUGGAAUUCCCAGUGUAGAGGUGAAAUUCGUAGAUAUUGGGAAGAACACCGGUGGCGAAGGCGGCUCACUGGUCCGGUACUGACGCUGAGGAGCGAAAGCGUGGGGAGCGAACAGG
rnacentral:rRNA from 1 species